GGGGUCGUUACGGAUUCGACAGGUAUAGGUUGAGCUUUCAAUGCAUUCCGUAGGUUACGUCUACGUAAAAACGUUACAGUUAAAUAUAACUGACAAACAACAAACAAACACUUUAGCUUUCGCAGCUUAAUAACUGCUAGCUAAGAUCUGUCCGGCAUCGCCCAUGUGCUCGGGUCCAGGUCCUAUAAUCAGUGGGAUACGAUUCACUUUUCCGCCUGUCUAAGUGAAUAAGAGAUUAUCAGGCUAGCUUAAGAUGAUGCUUGUUUAUCAGCUAAUCAGUAGCGAAACUUAAAUAGAUAAACUAUGAAUGUAGAUUUGAUUGUGUCGAUAUACUUGGACAGGGGUUCGACUCCCCUCGGCUCCAUUA
rfam:Granulicatella adiacens ATCC 49175 genomic scaffold SCAFFOLD1, whole genome shotgun sequence.